UACGUAGGGUGCGAGCGUUGUCCGGAAUUAUUGGGCGUAAAGGGCGCGUAGGCGGCCACUGCAAGUCAGUUGUGAAAUCUCCGGGCUUAACCCGGAAAGGUCAACUGAUACUGCAGGGCUAGAGUGCAGAAGGGGCAACUGGAAUUCUCGGUGUAGCGGUGAAAUGCGUAGAUAUCGAGAGGAACACCUGCGGCGAAGGCGGGUUGCUGGGCUGACACUGACGCUGAUGUGCGAAAGCCAGGGGAGCGAACGGG
rnacentral:rRNA from 1 species